rnacentral:rRNA from 1 species
CCUACGGGAUGCAGCAGUGGGGAAUAUUGCACAAUGGGCGCAAGCCUGAUGCAGCCAUGCCGCGUGUAUGAAGAAGGCCUUCGGGUUGUAAAGUACUUUCAGCGAGGAGGAAGGUGUUGUGGUUAAUAACCGCAGCAAUUGACGUUACCCGCAGAAGAAGCACCGGCUAACUCCGUGCCAGCAGCCGCGGUAAUACGGAGGGUGCAAGCGUUAAUCGGAAUUACUGGGCGUAAAGCGCACGCAGGCGGUCUGUCAAGUCGGAUGUGAAAUCCCCGGGCUCAACCUGGGAACUGCAUUCGAAACUGGCAGGCUAGAGUCUUGUAGAGGGGGGUAGAAUUCCAGGUGUAGCGGUGAAAUGCGUAGAGAUCUGGAGGAAUACCGGUGGCGAAGGCGGCCCCCUGGACAAAGACUGACGCUCAGGUGCGAAAGCGUGGGGAGCAAACAGGAUUAGAUACCCGCGUAGUC